GAUAGGCUCAGCGUGAGAGCGGCAUUGUUCCUGGGACCAUCCUGAGUAGGUUGCUGGGUGAAGGGUUGCUUAGGAGUCCAGACUGAAGAGGCAGCCUUGGCAAGAACAGGGAGGCAUUAAAGGCUGAAGACACUUGGCAAACUGCUGUACGACCCUGAACAAGUCCCCUUAUCAGCAGUAGUUUCCUCAUCUAUAAAAUGGGACGGCACCUAUCUCAUCAGGUUGUUUAUGACGACUGAAAGAAAAAAGCAUGGCUCCUACCUCAUGGCUAACAAGCCAUGGCUAGCCACUCCUCACUCGUUUACACUCAACAUGACUGACGGAAUCCAGAAGAGAAAGGAAUUUGGGAGGAAGUAUGGUGCAGUGGUGAGUGCCUCGGGCUUCCAACCCCAGCUCCUGGCCCAAAUCUGUGACCUCACACCAGUCACUCUCCUUAUCAGGCCAGUUUCCUCCUCUAUUUUAAGCCUAGCAUGGCUCUACUUUUACAAAUAAAAUAUAUAUUAUAACUUGUA